UACGUAGGAUGCAAGCGUUGUUCGGAAUUACUGGGCGUAAAGAGUACGUAGGCGGUUUGACAAGUCUGAUAUUAAAGACUGGGGCUUAACUCCAGGAGUGUAUCGGAAACUUUCAGACUAGAGGACAAUAGAGGAAGUCGGAAUUCUCAGUGUAGCGGUGAAAUGCGUAGAUAUUGGGAAGAACACCAGUGGCGAAAGCGGACUUCUGGGUUGUUACUGACGCUGAGGUACGAAAGCGUGGGGAGCAAACGGG
rnacentral:rRNA from 1 species